ensembl:snoRNA small nucleolar RNA SNORD50
UGACAGUGAUGAGUCCUUUAUCCCGAAACUGAUCUAUUGAUGAGACAAAUUUUACGGAUCUGAUUACUGAGUC